CAACUUCCAAGACCCAUGCUUGACUGAACUACAAGCAAUGCUGGAAUUCAUGGUGAGAGAAGAAUAACAGAACAAUGCUGUACUUGGCAGAGCAGAGCAAUCCGUAGUCUGUCUUCAUUCAAGCCUACAGAAGAGAAGGCUCCAGGCAGCGCUUACACUACGUUGAGGACUGUUUAACUUCCCAUAGCGUCCUGCAAGUGAGGAGGUUAGAGGUGCACAAGAAGAUGGGAGAGGGCCCACAUCUGACUGAAACUGGGUGAAGGAAUAUUCCAUACCAUAUGACAUCAUGCUGAACAGUAAAACAGUGGGGAAUUGGCCAGGGGGCAGCAGAUGUUUAGCUAGUGGCUGGGUAUCAGUUAGCAGGCAGUGGUGCACUGUGCAUCCCUGGUUUUGUAUGUAUUUAUUGCUAUUAUUAUUACUUUCUUUUCUUUUUCUGUCUUGUUUUAACUUUUUUUUUUUUUUUUACUUUUUUUUUUUUUCCUCCUGAUUUUCUUCCCAAACCCACCA
ensembl:lncRNA